AUUGAACGCUGGCGGAAUGCUUUACACAUGCAAGUCGAACGGUAGAGGGGGCAACCCCUUGAGAGUGGCGAACGGGUGAGUAAUAUAUCGGAACGUGCCCAGUCGUGGGGAUAACGUAGCGAAAGCUACGCUAAUACCGCAUACGAUCUACGGAUGAAAGCGGGGGAUCGCAAGACCUCGCGCGAUUGGAGCGGCCGAUAUCAGAUUAGGUAGUUGGUGAGGUAAAGGCUCACCAAGCCGACGAUCUGUAGCUGGUCUGAGAGGACGACCAGCCACACUGGGACUGAGACACGGCCCAGACUCCUACGGGAGGCAGCAGUGGGAAUUUUGGACAAUGGCGCAAGCCUGAUCCAGCAAUGCCGCGUGCAGGAUGAAGGCCUCGGUU
rnacentral:rRNA from 1 species